rnacentral:lncRNA from 1 species
AGAGAGGCGCUAUGCCUCCCUGCCGGCGACACGAUACAGCGCUGCAGAACCGACCCCGACGCAGCCGCCAUCGCUGAUGCCACUGCCAGUCAUGCGGUUCCGCCCCUGCGUUGCCGCGCGGGGCCGCGCACGCAAAUACGCAGGCACGCGCGGGAGCACGCCCGGGAGCGCGCAUGCGCAGCGCUGCUGGCCCGCUCUCUGAGGAGCUUUCAAUACUUUGGGGUCAAGUUUGAGGCAGUUGUAACUGUACUGAGUUUAGUUUUGCUAAUAAUGGUAUUCUACGUGUGUCAGCCUCGUGUGGACUUCUGUAAUGACUAAUGGAUAUGUUUAUAUCCUGAGCAUUUGCUGUAGGAAUUUUAAAUGCAAUCCCAAAACUCAAGAUUACCUUAUUUGGAGAAAUAUUCGUGUUACUAUGUUUAAAAUUUAAUAGAACCAUAUUUUACCUUUCACUUUGGGACUCGCACAGGAUGUUUGCAGCUCUUGAUAUACAGGAACUAGAACGUGUCUUUUAAGAGCAUGCGGUUUUAUAAUUACGUGGAAGUAUGCUACGCAAGGGAAAAAAGCCUCUUGCUAGUGUUAAGGGUCUUCAUAAACAGAAACCGCAAGGAACCUGGGAUCUGACAGCUGUUGGAGGAAUGCCUGUGAGGAAGGAGGAGGAACAGAAGAAUGCUUUGAUGUCUUAAAUGGUACAUCCAAACUUAAGUGAAAUAGAGCUGUGAGGACA